AGGGCGACCGGCCACACUGGGACUGAGACACGGCCCAGACUCCUACGGGAGGCAGCAGUGGGGAAUAUUGCACAAUGGGCGAAAGCCUGAUGCAGCGACGCCGCGUGAGGGAUGACGGCCUUCGGGUUGUAAACCUCUUUCAGCAGGGAAGAAGCGAAAGUGACGGUACCUGCAGAAGAAGCGCCGGCUAACUACGUGCCAGCAGCCGCGGUAAUACGUAGGGCGCAAGCGUUGUCCGGAAUUAUUGGGCGUAAAGAGCUCGUAGGCGGCUUGUCACGUCGGAUGUGAAAGCUCGGGGCUUAACCCCGAGUCUGCAUUCGAUACGGGCUAGCUAGAGUGUGGUAGGGGAGAUCGGAAUUCCUGGUGUAGCGGUGAAAUGCGCAGAUAUCAGGAGGAACACCGGUGGCGAAGGCGGAUCUCUGGGCCAUUACUGACGCUGAGGAGCGAAAGCGUGGGGAGCGAACAGGAUUAGAUACCCUGGUAGUCCACGCCGUAAACGUUGGGAACUAGGUGUUGGCGACAUUCCACGUCGUCGGUGCCGCAGCUAACGCAUUAAGUUCCCCGCCUGGGGAGUACGGCCGCAAGGCUAAAACUCAAAGGAAUUG
rnacentral:rRNA from 1 species